GAAAUGCGAUAAGUAAUGUGAAUUGCAGAAUUCAGUGAAUCAUCGAAUAUUUGAACGUACCUUGCGCUCCAUGGUAUUCCGAGGAGCAUGCCUGUUUGAGUGUCAGUAAAUUCUCAACCUCACGAAUUUUUGUAAUGAAAGUUGUGUGCAGGCUUGGAUGUGGGGGUUUGCAGGUCCGCCUCUUGGUGGUCUGCUCCUCUGAAAUGCAUUAGUGGGUUGUGCCCCUAAUCUAUUGGUGUGAUAAUUAGCUACGCCGUGGAUCAGGUUGACUACUAUAGACCUGCUACUAACCGUCCGUCUCGGACUACUUUGACAUUUUUGACCUCAACUCAGGUAAGACUACCCGCUGAACUUAA
rnacentral:misc_RNA from 1 species